UCCGGUCAUAUCACGUUGAAACGAUGGUUCCCAUCCGACCACCGAAAUAAAGCAAUGUCGAGUCUGAUCAGUACCCAGAUGGGUCACCGCUUUGGAAUGCCAGCUC